AGUGAACGCUGGCGGUAGGCCUAACACAUGCAAGUCGAACGGCAGCACAGUAAGAGCUUGCUCUUACGGGUGGCGAGUGGCGGACGGGUGAGGAAUACAUCGGAAUCUACUUUUUCGUGGGGGAUAACGUAGGGAAACUUACGCUAAUACCGCAUACGACCUACGGGUGAAAGCAGGGGAUCUUCGGACCUUGCGCGAUUGAAUGAGCCGAUGUCGGAUUAGCUAGUUGGCGGGGUAAAGGCCCACCAAGGCGACGAUCCGUAGCUGGUCUGAGAGGAUGACCAGCCACGCUGGAACUGAGACACGGUCCAGACUCCUACGGGAGGCAGCAGUGGGGAAUAUUGGACAAUGGGCGCAAGCCUGAUCCAGCCAUACCGCGUGGGUGAAGAAGGCCUUCGGGUUGUAAAGCCCUUUUGUUGGGAAAGAAAAGCAGCAGGUUAAUACCCCGCUGUUCUGACGGUACCCAAAGAAUAAGCACCGGCUAACUUCGUG
rnacentral:rRNA from 1 species